AUUGAACGCUGGCGGAAUGCUUUACACAUGCAAGUCGAACGGCAGCACGGGGCAACCUGGUGGCGAGUGGCGAACGGGUGAGUAAUACAUCGGAACGUGCCCAAUCGUGGGGAUAACGUAGCGAAAGUUACGCCAAUACCGCAUACGAUCUACGGAUGAAAGCGGGGGAUCGCAAGAUCUCGCGCGAAUGGAGCGGCCGAUGUCAGAUUAGGUAGUUGGUGGGGUAAAGGCUCACCAAGCCAACGAUCUGUAGCUGGUCUGAGAGGACGACCAGCCACACUGGAACUGAGACACGGUCCAGACUCCUACGGGAGGCAGCAGUGGGGAAUUUUGGACAAUGGGCGCAAGCCUGAUCCAGCCAUUCCGCGUGCAGGAUGAAGGCC
rnacentral:rRNA from 1 species